GUGGUUCCAGCAUCCCAGGGAAUCUAAAGUGUCAUUUCCUCUCUGGAAGAAAGGAAGCACAAAACAAGCUAGGCUUCACUGACUUCAGUCAAUCAAUAUUGACAUAUUAUAGAACCUCAGAUCUGGAACCUUAUCUUCUGAUCUGGUAAUUUUCAUUUGAGGAGAAAAGGCAUUAAGCCCUGACAGUCUAUGCAUUUCCUUGGAACGUGGGUUGAUUUUAUGUGCACAAAAAGUGGACGCUGAGCUCUUUAACACACUCUUCUGAAUGGUAAGCGUACUCUGCACUGUAAC